CUGUCAGGAUCCAGGGUUGUUAGGUUCUCGCUGUAGGGGUUUUGGGUGCAUGCACCACCUUUGUUUCCUCACCAGAUGGCACCAUCAGUUUGACGGAGGGCGUGGAUGACGUCAUCUCCCACACCGGCCUCGGAUUAGCUCAUCAGCGACAGGUUUUGAGGAGCGGUCUACCAGUCCUUCGGCGCCUGAGUGUUGCCCAGUUUUGUCUCCCCUUGGAUUUCCUCGACUGGAAGACGCGCCGUUUCUCGCUCCUCGCGGAUCCCGAGCCUACCUGUCUGCCCUCCAGCGCGCACACGCCCACCCAAACCCCCAGAGAGACCGGACCCUGGACCCAGCAGCCACCCGCCGCUAGCUUUUCACUGCUCUGCUCAAUGAGCCGAUCGCUUCCUGAUCCUUCCCUUCCCGUGGACCAGACCAGAGUUUUCAUUCCCUGCCACUGUGUUCCGUUUCUUUCUCAAAUAAAUUCACUAUAUUUUCACCCACCGUAUCCUAGUGUUGUGUUCUGCAUAUGGGCUAGA